rnacentral:rRNA from 1 species
AUGCACGCUGGCGGCGUGCCUAAUACAUGCAAGUCGAGCGAACAGAUGAGGAGCUUGCUCCUCUGACGUUAGCGGCGGACGGGUGAGUAACACGUGGAUAACCUACCUAUAAGACUGGGAUAACUUCGGGAAACCGGAGCUAAUACCGGAUAAUAUAUUGAACCGCAUGGUUCAAUAGUGAAAGACGGUUUUGCUGUCACUUAUAGAUGGAUCCGCGCCGCAUUAGCUAGUUGGUAAGGUAACGGCUUACCAAGGCAACGAUGCGUAGCCGACCUGAAAGGGUGAUCGGCCACACUGGAACUGAGACACGGUCCAGACUCCUACGGGAGGCAGCAGUAGGGAAUCUUCCGCAAUGGGCGAAAGCCUGACGGAGCAACGCCGCGUGAGUGAUGAAGGUCUUCGGAUCGUAAAACUCUGUUAUUAGGGAAGAACAAAUGUGUAAGUAACUAUGCACGUCUUGACGGUACCUAAUCAGAAAGCCACGGCUAACUACGUG